rnacentral:tRNA from 2 species
GCCGUUGUAGCUCAGAGGUAGAGCGCAUCCUUGGUAAGGCUGAGGUCCAGGGUUCGAAUCCCUGCAACGGCACCA